rnacentral:rRNA from 1 species
UACGGAGGGUGCGAGCGUUGUCCGGAAUCAUUGGGCGUAAAGGGCGCGUAGGUGGCCCGGUCAGUCUUUGGUGAAAGCGCGGGGCUCAACCCUGCGUCGGCCAGGGAUACUGCCGCGGCUGGAGCACUGUAGAGGCAGGCGGAAUCCGGGUGUAGCGGUGGAAUGCGUAGAGAUCCGGAAGAACACCGGAGGCGAAGGCGGCUCACUGGGGGUCUUCUGACGCUGAGGAACGAAAGCCAGGGGAGCGAACGGG